GCCCGGUUAGCUCAAUCGGUAGAGCGUGAGACUCUUAAAUUCUCACCUUCAAUUAGAAGGUGUAAUCUCAAGGUUGCGGGUUCGACCCCCGCAUCGGGCU